rnacentral:rRNA from 1 species
AACGAACGCUGGCGGCAUGCCUAACACAUGCAAGUCGAACGCCUGUAGCAAUACAGGAGUGGCGCACGGGUGAAUAACGCGUGGGAACCUGCCCAAUGGUUCGGGAUAACUGCGGGAAACUGCAGCUAAUACCGGAUAAGCCCUGAGGGGGAAAGAAUUUCGCCGAUGGAGGGGCCCGCGUUGGAUUAGCUAGUUGGUGAGGUAACGGCUCACCAAGGCGACGAUCCAUAGCUGGUCUGAGAGGACGAUCAGCCACACUGGGACUGAGACACGGCCCGGAUUCCUACGGGAGGCAGCAGUGGGGACUAUUGGACAAUGUGGGCAACCCUGAUCCAGCAAUGCCGCGUGAGUGAUGAAGGCCUUCGGGUUGUAAAGCUCUUUUGGCGGGGACGAUGAUGACGGUACCCGCAGAAUAAGCCCCGGCUAACUUCGUGCCAGCCGCCGCAGUAACAC